rnacentral:rRNA from 1 species
GACGAACGCUGGCGGCGUGCUUAACACAUGCAAGUCGAACGGAAAGGCCCUGCUUUUGUGGGGUGCUCGAGUGGCGAACGGGUGAGUAACACGUGAGUAACCUGCCCUUGACUUUGGGAUAACUUCAGGAAACUGGGGCUAAUACCGGAUAGGAGCUCCUGCUGCAUGGUGGGGGUUGGAAAGUUUCGGCGGUUGGGGACGGACUCGCGGCUUAUCAGCUUGUUGGUGGGGUAGUGGCUUACCAAGGCUUUGACGGGUAGCCGGCCUGAGAGGGUGACCGGCCACAUUGGGACUGAGAUACGGCCCAGACUCCUGCGGGAGGCAGCAGUGGGGAAUAUUGCACAAUGGGCGGAAGCCUGAUGCAGCAACGCCGCGUGCGGGAUGACGGCCUUCGGGUUGUAAACCGCUUUCGCCUGUGACGAAGCGUGAGUGACGGUAAUGGGUAAAGAAGCACCGGCUAACUACGUG